GCCCGCCCGCCCGCCCGCCGGCCGGCCGGCCCGCGGCCCCGCCCCGCCCCGUGCGCAGGCCGCGGGAGCCCGGCGUGGUGGCCGCGGGCGCGGGCCGUGCCUCGGCCCGUGGGAGAAAGUGCGUGUGGCCCCGGCUGUCAUGUGAUUCCGCGCUCACUCUCUCAAGUGUCAUUGGGUGGCUGCCUGCCCGCCCGCCUGCCCGCCUGCCCGCGUCGGGCCGGGGCUGCGCCUGGGGAGGGUAGGAGCGUGCGACCCGUGCUGGAGUGAGUCCCCAGGACGCACGGUGUGCUUGGUGGCGUUGGGAACCGGAGGCUUUCUCCUCCCUCCCCUCCCCUGCCCGCUCCCUCUGCCGCAGUGUGUCAGGAGACUUCCUGCGGUGCGGGGCGACCUGCCCCUUCAGGUGGAGGGAGAGAGGGAGGGAGGGAGGGUGGACCCUGCUGCACCCCAAGCUCUUUGGCAGAGACCCUGCUGCUGCCGCCGCCGCCGCCGCCGCCGCCGCCUGCCACUGGGUGCUUCUGUGAAGACAGUGGAAGGCGCCCAAGAGGGAGGUCUCAUCAGCUCUUUCUCAUCUGGAAUUCAAUUAAUUAUGAAGCCCAGGGUUACCUCAAGGCCCAGAGUGUUCCCUGCUUCUGCCUCCAGGGUGCUGGGAUUAAAGGCCUAUACCAUCACACCCCCAGAUUGUCCAGUAGCCCAAGCUGACCUUGAGUUCCCCAUCUUCAUGCCUUCUCUGUGCUAGGAUUUCAGGCAUGCACUACUAUUCCUGGGUUACACGGUCAGGAGGAUGAAACCCAGGGCUUCAUGUAGGAUAGGCAAGCACUCUGCCAGUUGAGUCAAAUUCUGGCCCCAACUUGCACUCGCCAGACAUUUCCUCUGUAACAGCACUGGCUGUGCUGGAGCGAGAUCGAGAUCCGCCUGCCUCGGCCUCCCAAGUGCUGGGGUUAAAAGGCAUUUGUCACUACUCCUGGUCCCAAAGUGCAUUCUUUAAAGAAUCAAGUAUUACUGUUUGGGAGGGACACAUUUAGACUUGUAAUGAUACUGAGAGAGUAACUUAACUUUAAAAGAAACUUAACUGGUUUCUUUUAAAAGAGAAAGUUACACAUUGUCCUAGAUACUUGAGUCUUUUGCAAAAAUCAAAUACAAAAAGGAAUGAAAAUUUAUGUCAAACAUACAUAAUUUCUGUUUUCAUUGGCAUUUGUAUGUGUUAUGAUCUUUAGUUGGGAUAAAAAUUAAUGGUUAUGGCAUUCUCGUACAUAUAUCUUGUUACACUUUGCUCAUUACACUUUGCUCAAAUAUAUUUCUCCAAUACCUUUUCCCCUCUGCUUUUCUGUCUGGGGGCAGGGCAUAUCUCAUAAAUUGGAUGAAAAACUUUUUUGUUAUGUAAUCUUUGCUUGUCAAUACAGAAAAUGUACAUCUAAAUCUUUUCCCUUCUAAAGGUGCUUAAAUAAAAGUGUGUGUUUGGACUCUG